AUGAACGCUGGCGGCAUGCCUAAGACAUGCAAGUCGAACGAAGUGGUCCAAUGAAGAUGGAGUGCUUGCACAAAAUCAGAUUUGGAUUGCCACUUAGUGGCGAAAGGGUGAGUAACACGUAGGUUAUCUACCUUUAAGACUGGAAUAACAAUUAGAAAUGAUUGCUAAUACCGGAUGAUAUAUAGAGUGAUACGUUACUUUAUAUUAAAAGGAGCCUUUAAAGCUUCACUUAAAGAUGAGCCUGCGACGUAUUAGCUAGUUGGUGGGGUAAAGGCCUACCAAGGCGACGAUGCGUAGCCGACCUGAGAGGGUGAUCGGCCACACUGGGACUGAGACACGGCCCAGACUCCUACGGGAGACAGCAGUUAGGAAUAUUCGUCAAUGGAGGGAACUCUGAACGAGCAAUGCCGCGUGAAGGAUGACGGUCCUUUGGAUUGUAAACUUCUGUUGUUAGGAACGAAAAACUUGAGUAGGAAAUGACUUAAGCUUGACGGUACCUUUCAAGAAAGCUCCGGCUAACUACGUGCCAGCAGCCGCGGUAAUACGUAGGGAGCGAGCGUUAUCCGGAUUUAUUGGGUGUAAAGCGUGCGUAGGCGGUUUCUUAAGUCUGUAGUCUAAGCCUGGAGCUCAACUCCAGUUCGCCAUGGAAACUGAGUUACUUGAGUAUGGUAGAGGCAAGUGGAAUUUCUAGUGUAGCGGUGGAAUGCGUAGAUAUUAGAAGGAACACCAGUGGCGAAGGCGGCUUGCUGGGCCAUUACUGACGCUGAGACACGAAAGCGUGGGGAGCGAAUAGGAUUAGAUACCCUAGUAGUCCACGCCGUAAACGAUGGAUACUAAGUGUCGGAGGAU
rnacentral:rRNA from 1 species